GGGUCGUUAGCUCAGUUGGUUGCGGAGUUGACUUUUAAUCAAUUGGUCGCUGGUUCGAAUCCAGCACGACCCACCA
rnacentral:tRNA from 1 species